UACGAAGGGGGCUAGCGUUGCUCGGAAUUACUGGGCGUAAAGCGCACGUAGGCGGAUUGUUAAGUCGGGGGUGAAAUCCUGGAGCUCAACUCCAGAACUGCCUUCGAUACUGGCGAUCUCGAGUUCGGGAGAGGUGAGUGGAACUGCGAGUGUAGAGGUGAAAUUCGUAGAUAUUCGCAAGAACACCAGUGGCGAAGGCGGCUCACUGGCCCGAUACUGACGCUGAGGUGCGAAAGCCAGGGGAGCGAACGGG
rnacentral:rRNA from 1 species